CGGCGAGUGGCGAACGGGUGAGUAAUACAUCGGAACGUGCCCAGUAGUGGGGGAUAGCUCGGCGAAAGCCGGAUUAAUACCGCAUACGACCUGAGGGUGAAAGCGGGGGAUCUUCGGACCUCGCGCUAUUGGAGCGGCCGAUGGCAGAUUAGCUAGUUGGUGGGGUAAAGGCCUACCAAGGCGACGAUCUGUAGCUGGUCUGAGAGGACGACCAGCCACACUGGGACUGAGACACGGCCCAG
rnacentral:rRNA from 1 species